rnacentral:ribozyme from 1 species
GUCGACACGUGGCCUGAUGAGUCCGUGAGGACGAAACGGUAGGAAUUCCUACCGUCGCCACGUUUCUGCGAAAACGGUUUUAGAGCUAGAAAUAGCAAGUUAAAAUAAGGCUAGUCCGUUAUCAACUUGAAAAAGUGGCACCGAGUCGGUGCUUUUUUACCGGAGUCGACUCCGGUCUGAUGAGUCCGUGAGGACGAAAAAAAAAGGAUCC